rnacentral:lncRNA from 1 species
CAUAUGGGUAGUGGAGCGUGCGGCCUGACGAAAGAAACACAUGCAGGAGUGCUAUAUUAAGUCACCACCCAACUAAUAUAGCACAUCACUGACUUAAUUCGUCUAUGCCCUAGACGUUCCAAGACAUACCGGAUCAAGCAUCACAAAGUCCCUCUCCUGUAAUGACAGGGCUCGACCCCACCGUUAUUUCUCGUACUCAUGAUUAUCUCAAGUAACACAACCGAGAUAACCGGCCGGGCAAUUAGUCACAAGACUUACGUGGUGUGUUAUCGAAACAUCUUCCUCAGCCCCUCACGUUCAUCCAUAUUGGUCCAAGCACUUUACUAGACAUGCUCCACGAGAUCGUAUUUACUAACUUGAUAAGUAAAU